GAUGGAUACCCUACCAACUGCAAAAACCCGGCAUGUAAUGGAACUCCGUGUAUCCUCGUAUCCACAGCUCCACGCAGCGCGCUUGCUGGCCUUUGCAAGGACGGCAAAUGUGUCCCGUCUUACGAAUUGAAUGUACAAGAGAAAAAAACUGCGCAUCCACAAAUGUACGGCAAGUGUCCAGAGAAAGAGCACUAUGGCCGAAAUGUCCUCCAGAAUUGCUACUAUUACUGCGAAAAAAGCAACGCGUGGUACUACGGCUUCUACAACAGCAACGUCUCCAGUGCCUGUAAUCUGGAAAAUCCACUUCCACGACAGACUCUUGGAUGGUGCUGUAAGGGUGACUGUGUUCAAAAGCCGUAUUGCCAACAGUGAUAAUUUUUUUCGCUAUAAAUGCAAUAUUGUUUGCGUGACCAAGUUGCAGGGGUCACCACUAUUAAUAACUGACACAUAUCAUUGAAUAAAGCG